GACGAACGCUGGCGGCGUGCUUAACACAUGCAAGUCGAGCGGAAAGGCCACUUCGGUGGUACUCGAGCGGCGAACGGGUGAGUAACACGUGAGUAAUCUGCCCUUGGCUUUGGGAUAGCCACCGGAAACGGUGAUUAAUACCGGAUACGACCACUUCUCGCAUGGGAUGGUGGUGGAAAGUUUUUCGGCCAGGGAUGUGCUCGCGGCCUAUCAGCUUGAUGGUGAGGUAAUGGCUCACCAUGGCUUCGACGGGUAGCCGGCCUGAGAGGGUGACCGGUCACACUGGGACUGAGACACGGCCCAGACUCCUACGGGAGGCAGCAGUGGGGAAUAUUGGACAAUGGGCGGAAGCCUGAUCCAGCAACGCCGCGUGAGGGAUGACGGCCUUCGGGUUGUAAACCUCUUUCGGUAGGGACGAAGCGCAAGUGACGGUACCUACUAAAGAAGCACCGGCCAACUACGUGCCAGCCGCCGCCGUAAGAC
rnacentral:rRNA from 1 species